AAAAGAUCGUGGGUCAAUCCUAAUCUCGAUCCUGAUUUUUUCUUCUGCCGUUCUGUUGCUCCCACCGUCCGCCGGCCAUCCUCCCACACCGCCACCCCUCGCUGUUUUCUGUCGACAACUCAGCCCAAAUCGACCUCAUGCCGGAUGCCGCCGCGGCCCCUGCAUCACCGGCUUCUGUCGCACCAUCACUGGCGGCGGCAGACAGGCUGAGCCAGCCCACGCGCAUGCCUGGCCGCGCUGGGCGUUGCUGCCGGGGACAGGAAGACUCACACGUGACCACGGCGUCCGCGACAGCGGCGGCGAACGUCGGCUAUCUCCACGGCCGUAGUCGUGGACGAGGAGGAAGCGCCGGAGUCAUCGACGGAUGGGGAUGGCGGUGUGGGCUCGGCGAGUUCGUCCUCGGUAGGAGCAGCUUCCUAUCCCUUCCCUUUGCCGUGGAUUUCUUCAGUUUAAUGAGAGCUCUGAUUCUUCCCCUGCGCAAGGAUGUUUCCUGGUCAGAGGUUGGUGAAUUCGAGGUUGGUCCAUACGAUGACUACCAAUCCAAGAAGGGCAACAAUGUGCCUCUCUCCACUCGCUGACUAGCCACCUCAGAGAAGAUGCGCAGGUCUGCCGAAGUAAGAACACUGCGAAGCAUUCUACUAGACUCAACAUCAGGUGCUUCUCCCUUGUGUGGUUUUCACAAUUCAAUUGCUCAGUCCUCGAAGCUCUAGGUCUUGGUCCACUGCUCACAAUGGUGACUCAUGCAAUAGAGAGCAGGGACCUCCUUUGGUUCAUUGAUAAGAUAUGUUUCAGUCCUUGGCCCCAGUAAGGUCCUGACGAUACUCCCCAAAUAAUCAACAUGGUUCUUGGAUUGCCACAUGUAUAGCUAGUUCUGGGUAGCUUUGCCGUGGGCUGAUCUGUAUAGCUAGUUCAGCUAGCUAUUUUUUUAUUGAUUACCAGUUCAGUUAGUGAUUUAAUUCCUGCUCCUAAAUACCUUGGUGUUUGUGCAAUAGCUAGUGAUUUUCUUAAAAAUGUUCAUUCAAAUAAUUUUUAGGAAGUAAAUCUACAAGUAUGACGCUAGCAUAUUCAAUUGUUUUUUUUUUGCACGAUGUGAGGUGGACACAAUGAUCUCCAUUGAAAGCGCCAUCUUUGAGGGGACCCCAUCAUCACAAUUAGGAGCCUGUGUGGCACUGGUUCGGCCAGCUACAGUGGCUAGAGCUAAAGCCAGCGGAGCCUGGCCAAAUGGGGUCUAGGUGUUUAGGGAUGAUUCAACUUUGAUUCCCCUGUUCAGCACUCAAUGAAUUUUCUGCCGAGCAUCCAUGGUACAGUAGAUAGAUUGUGAGUUUCAUGUGAGGAUGGUAUAUUUAAAACCUCUCUGUAUAGAUUCUUAUGAAAAUGUAAGUUUGGAUUGGCAGAUGAUAGAAAUAGUGAUUCCAAUAUGGCUUCAUCUUGUGUGCUUAUGGUAUUUAUGAACCGGCUCAGAAAAAAUGUAUGGUUUGUUUAAGAUAAUAAGAUUUUUUGCAUCAAUAUGUUUUGUUA